ensembl:snRNA U6 U6 spliceosomal RNA
GUGCUCUCCUUGGCAGCACAUACACUAAACUUGGAAUAGUAAAGAGAAGAUUAUCAUGGCCCUGUGGAAGAAUGACAUGCUCAUUUAUAGAGCAUCCCGUAGUUUCU